UGCAGUCGAGCGAWGGGAUUAAGWAGCUUGGCUCCUUAUGAAGUUAGCGGCGGACGGGGUGWGUAACACGUGGGGUAACCWGGCCCAUAAGACURGGGAUAACUCCGGGGAAACCGGGGCUAAUACCGGAUAAYAUUUUGAACCGCAWGGUUCGAAAUUGAAAGRGCGGCUUCGGCUGUCACUUAUGGAUGGACCCGCGUCGCAUUAGCUAGUUGGUGAGGUAACGGCUCACCAAGGCAACGAUGCGUAGCCGACCUGAGAGGGUGAUCGGCCACACUGGGACUGAGACACGGCCCAGACUCCUACGGGAGGCAGCAGUAGGGAAUCUUCCGCAAUGGACGAAAGUCUGACGGAGCAACGCCGCGUGAGUGAUGAAGGCUUUCGGGUCGUAAAACUCUGUUGUUAGGGAAGAACAAGUGCUAGUUGAAUAAGCUGGCACCUUGACGGUACCUAACCAGAAAGCCACGGCUAACUACGUGCCAGCAGCCGCGGUAAUACGUAGGUGGCAAGCGUUAUCCGGAAUUAUUGGGCGUAAAGCGCGCGCAGGUGGUUUCUUAAGUCUGAUGUGAAAGCCCACGGCUCAACCGUGGAGGGUCAUUGGAAACUGGGAGACUUGAGUGCAGAAGAGGAAAGUGGAAUUCCAUGUGUAGCGGUGAAAUGCGUAGAGAUAUGGAGGAACACCAGUGGCGAAGGCGACUUUCUGGUCUGUAACUGACACUGAGGCGCGAAGCGUGGGGAGCAAACAGGAUUAGAUACCC
rnacentral:rRNA from 1 species